GAUGAACGCUGGCGGCGUGCCUAAUACAUGCAAGUCGAGCGAACAGAUGAGGAGCUUGCUCCUCUGACGUUAGCGGCGGGCGGGUGAGUAACACGUGGAUAACCUACCUAUAAGACUGGGAUAACUUCGGGAAACCGGAGCUAAUACCGGAUAAUAUAUUGAACCGCAUGGUUCAAUAGUGAAAGACGGUUUUGCUGUCACUUAUAGAUGGAUCCGCGCCGCAUUAGCUAGUUGGUAAGGUAACGGCUUACCAAGGCGACGAUGCGUAGCCGACCUGAGAGGGUGAUCCGCCCCGAUGGGACUGAGGCCCGGUCCAGACUCCUGCGGGAGGCCGCAGUAGGGAAUCUUCCGCAAUGGGCGAAAGCCUGACGGAGCAACGCCGCGUGAGUGAUGAAGGUCUUCGGAUCGUAAAACUCUGUUAUUAGGGAAGAACAAAUGUGUAAGUAACUAUGCACGUCUUGACGGUACCUAAUCAGAAAGCCACGGCUAACUACGUG
rnacentral:rRNA from 1 species